AGGACUUGACAUGAAGAGAAGUUUU
rnacentral:rRNA from 1 species